rnacentral:rRNA from 1 species
UACGGAGGGUGCAAGCGUUGUCCGGAAUCACUGGGCGUAAAGGGCGCGUAGGCGGCUCAUGAAGGCUGUGGUGAAAGUCCGGGGCUCAACCUCGGAUCGGCCGUGGCGACUCGUGGGCUGGAGCACUGUAGAGGCGGGUGGAAUUCCGGGUGUAGCGGUGGAAUGCGUAGAGAUCCGGAGGAACACCAGUGGCGAAGGCGGCUUUCUGGUCUGUAACUGACGCUGAGGCGCGAAAGCGUGGGGAGCAAACAGG